rnacentral:rRNA from 1 species
UACGUAGGGUCCGAGCGUUGUCCGGAAUUAUUGGGCGUAAAGAGCACGCAGGCGGUUUGUCAAGUCGGAUGUGAAAACCCGAAGCUCAACUUCGGGCCUGCAUCCGAAACUGCCCGACUAGAGGUAGGUAGGGGAGAUCGGAAUUCCUGGUGUAGCGGUGAAAUGCGCAGAUAUCAGGAGGAACACCGGUGGCGAAGGCGGAUCUCUGGGCCUUACCUGACGCUCAGGUGCGAAAGCUAGGGGAGCGAACAGG